rnacentral:rRNA from 1 species
CUACGGGUCGCUGCAGUGAGGAAUAUUGCACAAUGGGGGGAACCCUGAUGCAGCAACGCCGCGUGGAGGAUGACGCAUUUCGGUGUGUAAACCCCUUUUAUAUGUCAAGAAAAUGACGGUAGCAUAUGAAUAAACACCGGCUAACUCCGUGCCAGCAGCCGCGGUAAUACGGAGGGUGCAAGCGUUACUCGGAAUCACUGGGCGUAAAGGACGCGUAGGCGGGUUGGAAAGUCAGGUGUGAAAUCCUACAGCUUAACUGUAGAACUGCACUUGAAACUUCUAAUCUAGAGUAUGGGAGGGGGAGAUGGAAUUAGUGGUGUAGGGGUAAAAUCCGUAGAUAUCACUAGGAAUACCUGAAGCGAAGGCGAUCUCCUGGAACAUUACUGACGCUAAGGCGUGAAAGCGUGGGGAGCAAACAGGAUUAGAUACCCGAGUAGUC